CCUUCUCAAAAAAAAGAACUCUCUCUCCUUUCCCCCCGUGCGAUCGCCACCAGGCUCCUCCUGCACAUCCGCCAUUUCUUCCGAUUUGCCGCCGGUGAAGGACGAUGUCACUGUGCCUCAUCAAGAAACAAAUCCUCAUGCUAUCCUGGAUCCACAUGUCGCUUCUUUUCUCCUGAUUUUUCUUCCCUGGUGGUGGCGCAUGUGGCUGGGUGAGUGCGUGGAUCUCAGCGGCCUCGUCGAGUCUGGCAACGCGGUCACAGAGAUGUCCAGGGAGAACGUGUGCGCUGCUCAAACUUAUCGUAGCUGGAGGCUCUGGCUGUUGGGGCUGCGGAGGCAUUGAGGGAGCUCGCGGAGGAAAAACUAUCAGCAAUAUCACGAAGGGCCAUUUUGAGUCGCUUGGUGACAAUAAUGAUUUUAGGAGCAUCAUCAGCAAACCUACCUUCAUCUUAAGCUCGUGGUUUAGAAUUCCUGGGAAGGUCAUGUUGUUAAGGGACUCCGCUGGACACAUAUUCUCCAUUGUGUUGUACUUCAUUGUUGCCUUGCAUACAGUGUCCAAGCUUAGACUCUCGACCGGUGGAUCACGAUGGUGAAGAUCAAACUGGAAUAUCCGCCAGCAUGCUUCGGUUGUUGAUAUGUAUCUCAUCUCUAGGUAUUUUUUGAUCUCAUCGUAGUCAUUUGUCGCACCCCUUUCCUUUAGUAAGGUUGUUACUUGGUCAUCGUCUUUAUGGAUGUACUUAAAUAGGUACUUG